rnacentral:rRNA from 1 species
GACGAACGCUGGCGGCGUGCUUAACACAUGCAAGUCGAACGAUGAAGCCGGAGCUUGCUCCGGUGGAUUAGUGGCGAACGGGUGAGUAACACGUGAGCAAUCUGCCCUUGACUCUGGGAUAACUGCGGGAAACUGUAGCUAAUACCGGAUACGACACCUUGGGGCAUCCCAGGGUGUGGGAAGAAUUUCGGUCAAGGAUGAGCUCGCGGCCUAUCAGCUAGUUGGUGAGGUAAUGGCUCACCAAGGCGACGACGGGUAGCCGGCCUGAGAGGGUGACCGGCCAAACUGGAACUGAGACACGGUCCAGACUCCUACGGGAGGCAGCAGUGGGGAAUAUUGCGCAAUGGGCGAAAGCCUGAUGCAGCAACGCCGCGUGAGGGAUGAAGGCCUUCGGGUUGUAAACCUCUUUUAGCAGGGAAGAAGCGAAAGUGACGGUACCUGCAGAAAAAGCACCGGCUAACUACGUGCCAGCAGCCGCCGUAA